GACUAUGAUUUAUACACUAAAUAGUUUUUGUCUUUCUUCUUCUCCAUACGAAGAAACAAGAGCAAGUCUCAGAUUCAAUCCACUUUGCUUCCUCAAAUUCUCAGAUUUGAUCUCUGGCCACCGUCGAUUGAAGCUUUACCACCACACUCCUUUUGACACUAUCGCUCUUUACCACCACCAGCUCGUCACCACCUCACCAUCUCUCUCUCUAAUUUUGUUUUGAUUUGACUGGAAGGUGGGUCGUGAGCAACUGAAUUAGGGUUCAGAUUAGGUUCCCAAGGUCGCUCCUGCUCCUCGUACGGUUUCUGGGGUUGGAGAUGGCGGCAUUGAUGAAGCAGCGGAGGAGGCUUCGGUGCAGAAGAAACGUGUUUCUCUUCAGAGACAAGCCGCCGUUACGGUUGAGGCUGCUGAGGAUUGCGCUUGGAGGUUUGAAUCUGGUGUCAAUGAGAAUGUGCUUCUUGGGAGAAAGCCAAGGAAAUGAGAGAGCAAGGAGGAUCAUUUCUUGUAAAAUCUGCGGCAAGAAGUACCAUAAGAAUUGUGUAAAGUCCUGGGCUCAACAUAGAGAUUUGUUUCACUGGAGUUUAUGGAGUUGUCCCUUUGUGAGAGUCGUCAUAUUCUUUAGGUCUGCCGUAGAACAGGAGAUCCUAACAAGUUUGUGUUCUGCAGGAGGUGUGAUGCCGCUUACCAUUGUGAAUCUCUUAACACCAAUGGCCUAGUUUCUAUAUUGGCUAUUUUGAUCAUACACAUCCCUUGUCGGUUUAGAAAUUUCAGCAUCCAAGACUCUUCACGUUUUGAUUUCAGAUGGAUUGCUGAAAUAUUGCAAGAGUCUGCAAAAUCUUUCUCUGCAUAACAAUCCCACUUUAACGGAUGAGUUUCAGCUUGUGUUAUUGUGUAUAACAUAACAGUGGUGUAAAUGUAUAUAGAGGGAAGGGCUGGACCUUGAAGACUGUCCUCAAAAAGAGCCUCUUGGUCAUGGGUUCUAUGCAGACUUCAUUACGGCAACAAAGAUACAAUACCAGAUUUCAUCAGCGAGUUUAUCUGUUGUAUUUUGCAAUGAGUUCAUGUGUUUUGAAUAUUUUUGGAAAAGCAUAUGGUAUGUUAUGAUUUAUGUGUUUUAUUAGAGUAAAUUAUAUUUAUUAAUCUUAUUGCAAUAUAUAUUAUAAAAAAUUUA